UCGCCGGGCAAGUUCAAAUUCAUUGGUUAGAGAGAUGAGGCGGAGCACAGCAGGAGAAGGCAGCCUCCUAUCGGUGCGCACCAGAACCACCCCGGCGUCUGACACUCACCGCCCGGCGCCGCCUACCCUGUACUUCCUGACUUCUCCAUCUGGACUGGCGCUAGCGUGAUUACGUCAUUACGUCAGCGCCGAUUGCUCAGUGCACAAGCGGAGGAGAGACUGAUCCAGGAACCACGGAACGCCGCCUGUCAGUGAGCGCUGGCUGCAGAAAAAAAAACGGGUCCUCCUUGGGGUGAUCAUUCUUCUGCCACAGGCUCCUGAGGAAGAGGUUGAGAGAGGUCUUGAAGCCGCCAACGACACCGAAGAAAGCAGGGUUCUCUAAGUCAGGUGGUGAUUUGCAUUGUGCAGCUGAUGUAGGUGGUGAGAGGUGAUGUUCCUUGUGAAUUGAAAACUAAGGUAG